rnacentral:rRNA from 1 species
AUGCCAGACUCCUACGGGAGGCAGCAGUGGGGGAUAUUGCACAAUGGGGGGAACCCUGAUGCAGCGACGCCGCGUGAGGGAAGACGGCCUUCGGGUUGUAAACCUCUGUCGCAGGGGACGAAGGAGAUGACGGUACCCUGUGAGGAAGCCACGGCUAACUACGUGCCAGCAGCCGCGGUAAUACGUAGGGGGCAAGCGUUAUCCGGAUUUACUGGGUGUAAAGGGCGUGCAGCCGGAGAGACAAGUCAGAUGUGAAAUCCACGGGCUCAACCCGUGAACUGCAUUUGAAACUGUUUCCCUUGAGUGUCGGAGAGGUAAUCGGAAUUCCUUGUGUAGCGGUGAAAUGCGUAGAUAUAAGGAAGAACACCAGUGGCGAAGGCGGAUUACUGGACGAUAACUGACGGUGAGGCGCGAAAGCGUGGGGAGCAAACAGGAUUAGAUACCCUCGUAU